ensembl:misc_RNA Metazoa_SRP Metazoan signal recognition particle RNA
GCCAGGCGCGGUGGCUCACGCCUGUAAUCCCAGCACUUUAGGAGGCUGAGGUGGGAGGAUCACCUGAGGUCGGGAGUUCAAGACCAGCCUGACCAACAUGGAGAAACCCCAUCUCUA